UACGUAGGUGGCAAGCGUUAUCCGGAAUUAUUGGGCGUAAAGCGCGCGCAGGCGGUUUCUUAAGUCUGAUGUGAAAGCCCACGGCUCAACCGUGGAGGGUCAUUGGAAACUGGGGAACUUGAGUGCAGAAGAGAAAAGCGGAAUUCCACGUGUAGCGGUGAAAUGCGUAGAGAUGUGGAGGAACACCAGUGGCGAAGGCGGCUUUUUGGUCUGUAACUGACGCUGAGGCGCGAAAGCGUGGGAAGCAAACAGG
rnacentral:rRNA from 1 species